UACGUAGGGUGCAAGCGUUAAUCGGAAUUACUGGGCGUAAAGAGUGCGCAGGCGGUGCUGUAAGACAGGCGUGAAAUCCCCGGGCUUAACCUGGGAAUGGCGCUUGUGACUGCAGUGCUGGAGUGCGGCAGAGGGGGAUGGAAUUCCGCGUGUAGCAGUGAAAUGCGUAGAUAUGCGGAGGAACACCGAUGGCGAAGGCAAUCCCCUGGGCCUGCACUGACGCUCAUGCACGAAAGCGUGGGGAGCAAAC
rnacentral:rRNA from 1 species